CUCAGGACGAACGCUGGCGGCGUGCCUAAUACAUGCAAGUCGAGCGGACCGACGGGAGCUUGCUCCCUUAGGUCAGCGGCGGACGGGUGAGUAACACGUGGGUAACCUGCCUGUAAGACUGGGAUAACUCCGGGAAACCGGGGCUAAUACCGGAUGCUUGAUUGAACCGCAUGGUUCAAUCAUAAAAGGUGGCUUUUAGCUACCACUUACAGAUGGACCCGCGGCGCAUUAGCUAGUUGGUGAGGUAACGGCUCACCAAGGCGACGAUGCGUAGCCGACCUGAGAGGGUGAUCGGCCACACUGGGACUGAGACACGGCCCAGACUCCUACGGGAGGCAGCAGUAGGGAAUCUUCCGCAAUGGACGAAAGUCUGACGGAGCAACGCCGCGUGAGUGAUGAAGGUUUUCGGAUCGUAAAACUCUGUUGUUAGGGAAGAACAAGUACCGUUCGAAUAGGGCGGUACCUUGACGGUACCUAACCAGAAAGCCACGGCUAACUACGUGCCAGCAGCCGCGGUAAUACGUAGGUGGCAAGCGUUGUCCGGAAUUAUUGGGCGUAAAGCGCGCGCAGGCGGUUUCUUAAGUCUGAUGUGAAAGCCCCCGGCUCAACCGGGGAGGGUCAUUGGAAACUGGGGAACUUGAGUGCAGAAGAGGAGAGUGGAAUUCCACGUGUAGCGGUGAAAUGCGUAGAGAUGUGGAGGAACACCAGUGGCGAAGGCGACUCUCUGGUCUGUAACUGACGCUGAGGCGCGAAAGCGUGGGGAGCGAACAGGAUUAGAUACCCUGGUAGUCCACGCCGUAAACGAUGAGUGCUAAGUGUUAGAGGGUUUCCGCCCUUUAGUGCUGCAGCAAACGCAUUAAGCACUCCGCCUGGGGAGUACGGUCGCAAGACUGAAACUCAAAGGAAUUGACGGGGGCCCGCACAAGCGGUGGAGCAUGUGGUUUAAUUCGAAGCAACGCGAAGAACCUUACCAGGUCUUGACAUCCUCUGACAACCCUAGAGAUAGGGCUUCCCCUUCGGGGGCAGAGUGACAGGUGGUGCAUGGUUGUCGUCAGCUCGUGUCGUGAGAUGUUGGGUUAAGUCCCGCAACGAGCGCAACCCUUGAUCUUAGUUGCCAGCAUUCAGUUGGGCACUCUAAGGUGACUGCCGGUGACAAACCGGAGGAAGGUGGGGAUGACGUCAAAUCAUCAUGCCCCUUAUGACCUGGGCUACACACGUGCUACAAUGGGCAGAACAAAGGGCAGCGAAGCCGCGAGGCUAAGCCAAUCCCACAAAUCUGUUCUCAGUUCGGAUCGCAGUCUGCAACUCGACUGCGUGAAGCUGGAAUCGCUAGUAAUCGCGGAUCAGCAUGCGCGGGUGAAUACGUUCCCGGGCCUUGUACACACCGCCCGUCACACCACGAGAGUUUGUAACACCCGAAGUCGGUGAGGUAACCUUUUGG
rnacentral:rRNA from 1 species